UAAAGACGCCAGUCAGGAAGUAUGUUGGAAGCCAAUGGGAAGUGGUUAGUUUCCCAGACUUCCUGAAGGCUCUGUCCUAGCGAGCUUCCCCUGUGGGCUGGCCCAAGAGGAGGAGUGACAGGGCUUCUCCAUAUGGAAGCAGCCCACACGCACUUAAAAUGAAAGUCAGCGAUGUCUCGAUUUAUCAAGAUUCAUGCUGAGGCAAGAAGGCCCACCUACACUCAGCAUGAGAAGAGAGUUAAAUUCUUUCUCAAUUCUUCUUGGGGCCUUUCUCACAAGAAGAUAAAUACAUGAACCGCGAUUUCAUCAGUAUAGAAAGCUGCUAAUGACUGAUAUAAAUCAGCAUCUUCCCUGUAACCUAAACAUCUCAUCUUACAGAUGAAGAAAGUGGACAGGGCUGGAAAGAUGCAAGCAUCAUUGGGUGUCCUUGAAGGUGCAAACCUGAAGCAUCUGGAGCCAGAUGAAUCGUCCAGAUGUGCGAUGGAUCAUUCAUGCACUUUGUAGCACACCAUAA
rnacentral:lncRNA from 1 species